GAAGAAUUCUGUUUAUUAAUCGCUAGAGCGCCAAAUUGCAGACUGCAGCUAAACAAUUGUCUUAAGAACGUUGUACGAGUUUCAAAAAGACAAGUUUGCUAACGGUUUCCCCACAAAAUGUUCAAACCGUAAGCAGUGCGCACUCUGUGCAGCGCACAUCUGGAAAGCUCCACCCCCAUCGCCGAGCGAAAGAAUCUGCCCAGCAACAACUUUGCCGCCUUUUCAGUAGUCUGCUGUCCGUUAAGGAUCCUCGAGUUCACCGGUGUCGUCGUGUGGACAAAAGGCAGCAACGUAUGAAAUUGCCUGCACAAAAUUAGUCGAGUAUGAACACAGAUGUACCAACCGAGUCCGAUUCUACAGAGAAUAUGGGAAGGGUGAAGCGCAGAAAGAGAUUUCUAGGCGAGUGAUUUUGUCCAGUGAGGAUGAGCCCCAUCAGGCCUACACCUCCAUCCACCCUCAAGUCAUCACCUCCACUGUAAAAAAAAAGAAAAUCGCACCGGCUGCAUCCACCCUCUGAUCUGUGCCGACACCUCCACCGGCUCCAUCCACCCUCAGAUCUCUGCUGACACCUCCAUGGCCUCCAUCCAACUGGCAGUACAACUUUGUGGGCCGAAACGGGAAGAGAGAGUUCAAGGCCUUAAAACUGUAUGAAGUAAUGGAGGCUUAAAGAAAAGCACCAUGACCAGCCAAAUCACCUGUAAAGAUGCAGAGAAGGCGGUCUCCAAGUGGCUCAUUGGUGCUAGGGACUGGGGGGUAAUAGACAGGCCCAACAGGCAACCCCUUAACAAGGACUUCAGGCUUCGGGUUCAUUUGAGGUGGAAAGUAGCUAAUCCUGUCUCUAACAGUGAGGGAACACUGAGCAAAAGUUUUCUUAAUGAGAGUUUUCUUAAUGUUUUUCUUAAUUUUACUUAAAUAAAAAGGUCAUUAAUUGUA